CCAGGUCUUUCUCUGCCUCUGUGGUGGAUAGUGGAGUGUUUCCCAUGUGGUAUUGGUGUGCUGGAUAUCCCUUCACUGGUAGCCUGGUCACAUACACCCCCAGGUCUUUCUCUGCCUCUGUGGUGGAUAGUGGAGUGUUUCCCAUGUGGUAUUGGUGUGCUGGAUAUCCCUUCACUGGUAGCCUGGUAACAUACACUCCCAGGUCUUUCUCUGCCUCUGUGGUGGAUAGUGGAGAUGUUUCCCAUGUGGUAUUGGUGUGCUGGAUAUCCCUUCACUGGUAGCCUGGUAACAUACACUCCCAGGUCUUUCUCUGCCUCUGUGGUGGAUAGUGGAGUGUUUCCCUUGUGGUACUGGUGUGCUGGAUAUCCCUUCACUGGUAGCCUGGUAACAUACACUCCCAGGUCUUUCUCUGCCUCAGUGGUGGAUAGUGGAGUGUUUCCCAUGUGGUGUUGGUGUGCUGGAUAUCCCUUCACUGGUAGCCUGGUAACAUACACUCCCAGGUCUUUCUCUGCCUCUGUGGUGGAUAGUGGAGUGUUUCCCAUGUGGUAUUGGUGUGCUGGAUAUCCCUUCACUGGUAGCCUGGUAACAUACACUCCCAGGUCUUUCUCUGCCUCUGUGGUGGAUAGUGGAGUGUUUCCCAUGUGGUAUUGGUGUGCUGGAUAUCCCUUCACUGGUAGCCUGGUAACAUACACUCUCAGGUCUUUCUCUGCCUCUGUGGUGGAUAGUGGAGUGUUUCCCAUGUGGUAUUGGUGUGCUGGAUAUCCCUUCACUGGUAGCCUGGUAACAUACACUCCCAGAUCUUUCUCUGCCUCUGUGGUGGAUAGUGGAGUGUUUCCCAUGUGGUAU